AAAAGUUUAUUCAUUUCUCAUUGAAAUAUCUUGCCAUAUCAUUGAUUAUAUAAAUUAUGGCAAAAUUACAUCAAUAAUUAACAUUAAUUUUCAUAAUGCAGUUAAAAAGGACAUUUGAAGUUCAUAAUAAAUAUAUCUACAAUGGUGUAGAAGUAAGUGCCUGCAGUAGAACUGGUCUUUUACAAUUUGAAGGAUACAUUUCUUAUUCCCAUACUUUCAUGUUUCACUUUAAAGAUCUGUUGGCCAGCCUAGUUGUGGUGGGGCAGUUCGUAAUAGUCCCUGGAAUAGUCUCACCAUUUUAAUAAUCUGUGAUUGGAAAGCAGUGUAAAAAUUAUAAUGAAAGAAAACAUAUUCCUAAUAAAAAUUGAUACAGGUAUUGUUU
rnacentral:lncRNA from 1 species